rnacentral:rRNA from 1 species
UACAGAGGGGGCAAGCGUUGUUCGGAAUUACUGGGCGUAAAGGGCGCGUAGGCGGCCGCCUAAGUCAGACGUGAAAUCCCUCGGCUCAACCGGGGAACUGCGUCUGAUACUGGGUGGCUUGAAUCCGGGAGAGGGAUGCGGAAUUCCAGGUGUAGCGGUGAAAUGCGUAGAUAUCUGGAGGAACACCGGUGGCGAAGGCGGCAUCCUGGACCGGCAUUGACGCUGAGGCGCGAAAGCGUGGGUAGCAAACAGG